rnacentral:rRNA from 1 species
GAUGAACGCUGGCGGCGUGCCUAAUACAUGCAAGUCGAGCGAACGGACGAGAAGCUUGCUUCUCUGAUGUUAGCGGCGGACGGGUGAGUAACACGUGGAUAACCUACCUAUAAGACUGGGAUAACUUCGGGAAACCGGAGCUAAUACCGGAUAAUAUUUUGAACCGCAUGGUUCAAAAGUGAAAGACGGUCUUGCUGUCACUUAUAGAUGGAUCCGCGCUGCAUUAGCUAGUUGGUAAGGUAACGGCUUACCAAGGCAACGAUGCAUAGCCGACCUGAGAGGGUGAUCGGCCACACUGGAACUGAGACACGGUCCAGACUCCUACGGGAGGCAGCAGUAGGGAAUAUUCCGCAAAGGGCGAAAGCCUGACGGAGCAACGCCGCGUGAGUGAUGAAGGUCUUCGGAUCGUAAAACUCUGUUAUUAGGGAAGAACAUAUGUGUAAGUAACUGUGCACAUCUUGACGGUACCUAAUCAGAAAGCCACGGCUAACUACGUG